UACGGAGGAUGCAAGCGUUAUCCGGAAUUAUUGGGCGUAAAGCGUCUGUAGGUGGAUGUUCAAGUCUGCGGUCAAAGGUCGAGGCUCAACCUCGAAUCGGCCGUGGAAACUGAGAAGCUAGAGUGUGGUAGGGGCAGAGGGAAUUCCCAGUGUAGCGGUGAAAUGCGUAGAGAUUGGGAAGAACACCGGUGGCGAAAGCGCUCUGCUAGGCCAAGACUGACACUGAGGGACGAAAGCUAGGGGAGCGAAUGGG
rnacentral:rRNA from 1 species